rnacentral:rRNA from 1 species
GUGAUACUCAGGAGACACACGGUGGGUGCUAACGUCCAUCGUGGAGAGGGAAACAACCCAGACCGCCAGCUAAGGUCCCAAAGUCUAUAUUAAGUGGGAAACGAAGUGGGAAGGCUUAGACAGCUAGGAUGUUGGCUUAGAAGCAGCCACCAUUUAAAGAAAGCGUAAUAGCUCACUAGUCGAGUCGGCCUGCGCGGAAGAUGUAACGGGGCUCAAAUAUAGCACCGAAGCUGCGGCAUCAGACGAAAGUCUGUUGGGUAGGGGAGCGUUGUGUAAGUCGAUGAAGGUGGAUUGAGAAGUCUGCUGGAGAUAUCACAAGUGCGAAUGCUGACAUAAGUAACGAUAAAACGAGUGAAAAACUCGUUCGCCGGAAGACCAAGGGUUCCUGUCCAACGUUAAUCGGGGCAGGGUGAGUCGGCCCCUAAGGCGAGGCUGAAAAGCGUAGUCGAUGGGAAACGGGUUAAUAUUCCCGUACUUGUAAUAACUGCGAUGUGGGGACGGAGAAGGUUAGGUUAGCAGACUGUUGGAUGUCUGUUUAAGCCGGUAGGUGGGAAGAUUAGGCAAAUCCGGUCUUCCUUAACACCGAGAAGUGAUGACGAGUCUCUACGGAGAUGAAGUAAUCGAUACCACGCUUCCAGGAAAAGCCACUAAGCUUCAGGUUAUUAUAAACCGUACUAUAAACCGACACAGGUGGUCAGGUAGAGAAUACUCAGGCGCUUGAGAGAACUCGGGUGAAGGAACUAGGCAAAAUAGCACCGUAACUUCGGGAGAAGGUGCGCCGGCGUAGAUUGUAGUCCCUUGCGGAUGAAGGUUGAACCGGUCGAAGAUACCAGCUGGCUGCAACUGUUUAUUAAAAACACAGCACUCUGCAAACACGAAAGUGGACGUAUAGGGUGUGAUGCCUGCCCGGUGCUGGAAGGUUAAUUGAUGGUGUUAUCGCAAGAGAAGCUCCUGAUCGAAGCCCCAGUAAACGGCGGCCGUAACUAUAACGGUCCUAAGGUAGCGAAAUUCCUUGUCGGGUAAGUUCCGACCUGCACGAAUGGCAUAAUGAUGGCCAGGCUGUCUCCACCCGAGACUCAGUGAAAUUGAAAUCGCCGUGAAGAUGCGGUGUACCCGCGGCUAGACGGAAAGACCCCGUGAACCUUUACUAUAGCUUGACACUGAACAUUGAAUUUUGAUGUGUAGGAUAGGUGGGAGCCUUUGAAGCAGUCACGCCAGUGAUUGUGGAGGCGUCCUUGAAAUACCACCCUUUAACGUUUGAUGUUCUAACGAAGAUUGCGGAACGCGGUCUCGGACAGUGUCUGGUGGGUAGUUUGACUGGGGCGGUCUCCUCCCAAAGAGUAACGGAGGAGCACGAAGGUUUGCUAAUCACGGUCGGACAUCGUGAGGUUAGUGCAAUGGUAUAAGCAAGCUUAACUGCGAGACAGACAAGUCGAGCAGGUGCGAAAGCAGGUCAUAGUGAUCCGGUGGUUCUGAAUGGAAGGGCCAUCGCUCAACGGAUAAAAGGUACUCCGGGGAUAACAGGCUGAUACCGCCCAAGAGUUCAUAUCGACGGCGGUGUUUGGCACCUCGAUGUCGGCUCAUCACAUCCUGGGGCUGAAGUAGGUCCCAAGGGUAUGGCUGUUCGCCAUUUAAAGUGGUACGCGAGCUGGGUUUAGAACGUCGUGAGACAGUUCGGUCCCUAUCUGCCGUGGGCGUUGGAGAAUUGAGAGGGGCUGCUCCUAGUACGAGAGGACCGGAGUGGACGCAUCACUGGUGUUCCAGUUGUCUCGCCAGAGGCAUUGCUGGGUAGCUACAUGCGGAAGAGAUAAGUGCUGAAAGCAUCUAAGCACGAAACUUGCCUCGAGAUGAGUUCUCCCACACUAUAAGUGUGUAAGGGUUGUUGGAGACUACGACGUAGAUAGGCUGGGUGUGUAAGUGUUGUGAGACAUUGAGCUAACCAGUACUAAUUGCCCGAGAGGCUUAACUAU